rnacentral:tRNA from 1 species
GGGCUAGCUCAAUCGGUAGAGCGUGAGACUCUUAAUCUCAAGGUUGCGGGUUCGACCCCCGCGUUCG